ensembl:lncRNA
AAGGCCUCCCCAGACAGCCAUUUUGCUUUUUUGCAUUUCUUUUCCAUGGGGAUGGUCUUGAUCCCUGUCUCCUGUACAAUGUCACGAACUUUAUUCCAUAGUUCAUCAGGCACUCUAUCUAUCAGAUCUUGUCCCUUAAAUCUAUUUCUCCCUUCCACUGUGUAAUCAUAAGGGAUUUGAUUUAGGUCAUAUCUGAAUGGUCUAGUGGUUUUCCCUACUUUCUUCAAUUUAAGUCUGAAUUUGACAAUACGGAGUUCAUGAUCUGAGCCACAGUCAGCUCCUGGUCUUGUUUGUGUUGACUGUAUAGAGCUUCUCCAUCUUUGGCUGCAAAGAAUAUAAUCAGUCUGAUUUCGGUGUUGACCAUCUAGUGAUGUCCAUGUGUAGAGUCUUCUCUUGUGUUGUUGGAAAAGGGUGUUUGCUAUGACCAGUGCAUUCUCUUGGCAAAACUCUAUUAGUCUUUGUCGUGCUUCAUUCCGCAUUCCAAGGCCAAAUUUGCCUGUUACUCCAGGUGUUUCUUAACUUCCUACUUUUGCAUUCCAGUCCCUUAUUAUGAAAAGGACAUCUUUUUUGGCUGUUAGAUAUAUUCCUAAGUAUUUUAUUCUUUUCAUUGCAGUGGUGAUUGAAUUGUUUCCUUAAUUUCUCAUUCUGUUUUCUCAUUGUUAGUGUAUAGGAAUGCAAGGGAUUUCUCUGUGUUAAUUUUAUAUCCCGCAACUUUAAAUAACUUUGUUUCUUUUUUUUUAUACAUUCCAGAUAUAAGUGCUAGCAUAUAUUUGUCUUUUGCUCUGUGGUUUACUUCACUCAGUAUGAUAAUCUCUGAGGAAAGUGAAAGUUUUAGUCACUCAGUAUCUGACCUUGUGACCCCAUGGACUAUAGCAUACCAGACUUCUCUACCCAUGAAAUUCUCUAGGAAAAAAUACUGGAUCAGGUAGCCAUUCCCGUCUCUGGGUAUCUUCCCUACCCAGGGAUUGAACCCAGGUCUCCCACAUUGCAAUCAGAUUCUUUUCACUCUGAGUCACCUGAGGAGGCCAUAAUAAUCUCUAAGUCCAUUUGUACUGCUGCAAAUGGAAAUAUUUCAUUCUUUUAUUAUGGCCAAGUAAUAGUGUAUUGUAUAUACAUACCACAUCUUUAACCAUUCAUCUGUUAAUGGACACUUUGGUUGCUUCCAUGUCCUGACUAUCACAAAUAUUAAUGCUGUGAACAUUAGGGUGCAUGUAUCUUUCCAAAUUGGGGCUUCCCUGAUAGCUCAGUUGGUAAAGAAUCUACCAGCAAUGCAGGAGACCUCAAUUCCUGGGUUGGGAAGAUCCGCUGGAGAAGGGAUAGGCUGCCCACUCCAGUAUUCUUGGGCUUCCCUUGUGGACUCUUUCUGGACUCAUUCUGGCCUGAAAUAGUCUAUGGGGUCAAAAAGAAUCGGACUCCACAUAAAAACUCUCAGAGCUAAUAAAUGAACUCAGCAAGGUGGCAAGGUAUGAGUUUAAUAUAAAGAAGUAUAUUGCAUUUCUUUAUAGUAACAGUGAAAUAACAGAAAAUGUUUUUAAAGAAAAAUCCAUUUUAAAAGCACAUAACAAUAACCAGGAAUAAAUCCUAGCCAAGGAGUGGAAGACCUAUAUGCUGUGAG